AAGUCGUAACAAGGUUUCCGUAGGUGAACCUGCGGAAGGAUCAUUAUCGAGUUUUGAAAUGGGUUGUAGCUGGCCUUCCGAGGCAUGUGCUCGCCCUGCUCAUCCAUUUUACACCCUGUGCACCUUUGAAGGCUCGAGUCCCCUCCUUUCGCGAGGAGUGGCUUUUGCCUUUCUUCACACACACUAUUUUGUAAUGAAUGUCAUCUUGCUAUAACGCAAUUAAAUACAACUUUCAACAACGGAUCUCUUGGCUCUC
rnacentral:misc_RNA from 1 species